GCAGUAGGCGGGCUGAUGCUCGUGAUGGGAACUUGGGAUUUUCUUUGAUGUCAUCUUCUCCCGCGAACUCAUGGCUGGGGCACACUUUCUU
rnacentral:ribozyme from 1 species